UAGCAUAUCAAUAAGCGGAAGGAAAAGAAACUAACAAGGAUUCCCCUAGUAACUGCGAGUGAAGCGGGAAAAGCUCAAAUUUAAAAUCUGGCAGUCUUUGGCUGUCCGAGUUGUAAUCUGGAGAAGUGCUUUCUGCGCUGGACCGUGUACAAGUCUCUUGGAAUAGAGCGUCAUAGAGGGUGAGAAUCCCGUCUUUGACACGGACUACCAGUGCUUUGUGAUGUGCUUUCAAAGAGUCGAGUUGUUUGGGAAUGCAGCUCAAAAUGGGUGGUAAAUUCCAUCUAAAGCUAAAUAUUGGCGAGAGACCGAUAGCGAACAAGUACCGUGAGGGAAAGAUGAAAAGCACUUUGGAAAGAGAGUUAAACAGUACGUGAAAUUGCUGAAAGGGAAACACUUGAAGUCAGUCGCGUUGUUCAGAACUCAGCCUGGCCUUGGCUUGGUGCAUUUUCUGAAUGACGGGCCAGCAUCAAUUUUGACUGUUGGAUAAAGGCCAGAGAAAUGUGGCUCCUUUGGGAGUGUUAUAGUCUCUGGUUGCAUACAAUGGUUGGGAUUGAGGAACUCAGCAUGCCUUUACGGUCGGGGUUCGCCCACGUUCAUGCUUAGGAUGCUGGCGUAAUGGCUUUAAAUGACCCGUCUUGAAACACGGACCAAGGAGUCUAACAUGCCUGCGAGUAUUUGGGUGGAAAACCCGAGUGCGCAAUGAAAGUGAAAGUUGGGAUCUCUGUCGUGGGGAGCACCGACGCCCGGACCAGACCUUCUGUGACGGAUCCGCGGUAGAGCAUGUAUGUUGGGACCCGAAAGAUGGUGAACUAUGCCUGAAUAGGGUGAAGCCAGAGGAAACUCUGGUGGAGGCUCGUAGCGAUUCUGACGUGCAAAUCGAUCGUCAAAUUUGGGUAUAGGGGCGAAAGACUAAAUCGAGCCAUCUAGUAGCUGGGUCUGCGA
rnacentral:rRNA from 1 species